rnacentral:rRNA from 1 species
UACGAGUGGCCCAAGCGUUGUCCGGAAUUAUUGGGCGUAAAGAGCUCGUAGGCGGUCUGUCGCGUCGGCUGUGAAAACUCGGGGCUCAACUCCGAGCUUGCAGUCGAUACGGGCAGGCUAGAGUUCGGCAGGGGAGACUGGAAUUCCUGGUGUAGCGGUGAAAUGCGCAGAUAUCAGGAGGAACACCGGUGGCGAAGGCGGGUCUCUGGGCCGAUACUGACGCUGAGGAGCGAAAGCGUGGGGAGCGAACAGG